rnacentral:rRNA from 1 species
CGGCGGACGGGUGAGUAACACGUGAGUAACCUGCCGUACACAUAGGGAUAGCCUCGGGAAACUGGGAUUAAUACCGAAUGAAACAUAUUAGUAGCAUUACUUUAAUGUCAAAGAUUUAUCGGUGUACGAUGGACUCGCGUCUGAUUAGCUAGUUGGUAAGGUAACGGCUUACCAAGGCGAUGAUCAGUAGCCGGCCUGAGAGGGUGACCGGCCACAUUGGGACUGAGACACGGCCCAA